rnacentral:tRNA from 1 species
GCCCCGAGAAGCUAAUUUAGCAGUGGUUUUGUAAACCUCAGAAGGCCUACACCCCGAGGCU